rnacentral:rRNA from 1 species
UCCGGUUGAUCCUGCCGAAGGCUACUGCUAUUGGAGUUCGAUUAAGCCAUGCGAGUCUAAGGGAUCUUCGGAUCCCUGGCGUAAUGCUCAGUAACACGUGGAUAAUCUACCCUCAGGUGGGGCAUAAACCCGGGAAACUGGGGCCAAUUCCCCAUAGAUACAGAUCGCUGGAAUGCUUCUGUAUUCAAAGCUCCGGCGCCUGAGGAUGGGUCUGCGGCCUAUCAGGUUGUAGUCAGGGUCAAGACCUGACUAGCCAGCGACGGGUAUGGGGUGUGAGAGCACUUGCCCAGAGAUGGUUUCUGAGACACGAAACCAGGCCCUACGGGGCGCAGCAGGCGCGAAAACUUCGCAAUGCGGGAAACCGUGACGAGGGAACUCCAAGUGUCUAUGCAUUGCAUAGACUGUUUUUUAGCCUAAAUAGCUAUUAGAGUAAGGGGUGGGCAAGACCGGUGCCAGCCGCCGCGGUAACACCGGCACCCCGAGUGGUAGCCACUAUUAUUGGGCCUAAAGCGUUCGUAGCCGGUUUGGUAAAUUCUUGGGUAAAUCGUACCGCUUAACGGUGCGGAUUCCGGGGACACUACCAGACUUGAGACCGGGGGAGAUCAGAGGUACUUGCGGGGGAGCGGUGAAAUGUUGUAAUCCUGCAGGGACCACCAGUGGCGAAGGCGUCUGAUCAGAACGGCUCUGACGGUGAGGAACGAAACCCUGGGGCGCAACGGGAUUAGAUACCCCGGUAGUCCAGGGCGUAAACGCUGCUGACUUGGUGUUGGGGAUCCUACGAGGAUGUCCAGUGCUGGCGCGAAGGUAUUAAGUCAGCCGCCUGGGGAGUACGGUCGCAAGACUGAAACUUAAAGGAAUUGGCGGGGGAGCACUGCAACGUGUGGAGCGUGCGGUUUAAUUGGAUUCAACGCCGGA